ACAGCACAAACUGAGCAGGCAAUACUUCCCCAUGACCGGAGAAGUACGCAGCCGGGCCGUGAAAACGGCAGCAGAAGCAGCAUAAGCGCAUCUGCGGGACAGU
rnacentral:ncRNA from 1 species